rnacentral:rRNA from 1 species
GGCCCUACGGGGCGCAGCAGGCGCGAAACCUCCGCAAUGCGAGCAAUCGCGACGGGGGGACCCCAAGUGCCACUCUUAACGGGGUGGCUUUUCUGAAGUGUAAAAAGCUUUAGGAAUAAGGGCUGGGCAAGACCGGUGCCAGCCGCCGCGGUAACACCGGCAGCUCAAGUGGUGGCCAUUAUUAUUGGGCCUAAAGCGUUCGUAGCCGGUUUGAUAAGUCUCUGGUGAAAUCCCGCAGCUUAACUGUUGGACUUGCUGGAGAUACUAUCAGAC